rnacentral:snoRNA from 1 species
CCUGCCCAUGGAGGUGUUUCAGGUGUGGCUGCUGUGUCACACAUGAGUCAGUAGGCAGCAGAGUGGAAAGAGGCUAUGUCUACCCUCAGUGUUCUGACCUGUGACCAUCUGAAUGAUGAGCAGCCUAACAUA